CCGCGACAUCCCCUCGGGGUGCUGACGACAGGACACACAAGGCUGAACAUCGCUGAGGAACAGACAGAGGCAGAGAACUGAGAGACUAAAGAGUUCAGUCAGGAAAAGAAGUACAUCACUCAGCUUCCUCCUCCUGCCGCCUCUCCAAACUGGAGGCAUGUCGACUGUCAUCUGCUCGAGGUAACACACCGACUGUGGACUAUCGCCUCGCACGGAGACGGACUUCCAGAAAAAGGAGAAGCCAUUUGACCACAUAUCACUUCUGCUCAUGCAGCUACAGCAUUAUGUAACCCCGGCACUUGCAUUUAAAGAG